UGGGGAAUUUUGCGCAAUGGGCGAAAGCCUGACGCAGCAACGCCGCGUGAGUGAUGAAGGCUUUCGGGUCGUAAAGCUCUGUCAAGGGGAAAGAAGUGUAUUGUGGUUAAUACCCGCGAUACUUGACGGUACCCCUAAAGGAAGCACCGGCUAACUCCGUGCCAGCAGCCGCGGUAAUACGGAGGGUGCGAGCGUUGUUCGGAAUUAUUGGGCGUAAAGCGCGUGUAGGCGGUUUGUUAAGUCUGAUGUGAAAGCCCCGGGCUCAACCUGGGAAGUGCAUUGGAUACUGGCAGACUUGAAUACGGGAGAGGGCAGUGGAAUUCCUGGUGUAGGAGUGAAAUCCGUAGAUAUCAGGAGGAACACCGGUGGCGAAGGCGGCUGCCUGGACCGAUAUUGACGCUGAGACGCGAAAGCGUGGGUAGCAAACAGGAUUAGAUACCCUGGUAGUCCACGCCGUAAACGAUGAGUACUAGGUGUUGCGGGUAUUGACCCCUGCAGUGCCGCAGCUAACGCAUUAAGUACUCCGCCUGGGAAGUACGGUCGCAAGACUA
rnacentral:rRNA from 1 species